rnacentral:rRNA from 3 species
GACGAAGGAUGCAAGCGUUAUCCGGAUUCAUUGGGUUUAAAGGGAGCGUAGGUGGGUUUGUAAGUCAGUGGUGAAAGCCGGUCGCUUAACGAUCGAAUUGCCAUUGAUACUGCAGACCUUGAGUACAGAUGCUGUGGGCGGAAUAUGACAUGUAGUGGUGAAAUACAUAGAGAUGUCAUAGAACACCGAUUGCGAAGGCAGCUCACAAAACUGUAACUGACACUGAGGCUCGAAAGUGCGGGGAUCAAACAGG